AACGAACGCUGGCGGCGUGGAUUAGGCAUGCAAGUCGAACGCGAACGUCACCUUCGGGUGACUAGUAGAGUGGCGAACGGGUGAGGAACGCGUGAAGAACCUGCCUUCGACUGGGGGAUAACACUCCUAACGGGGUGCUAAUACCGCAUGAGACCACGGGAUCGCAUGAUCCUGAGGUCAAAGGUGGCCUCUAUUUAUAAGCUACCGGUCGAAGAUGGCUUCGCGUCCCAUUAGCUUGUUGGUGGUGUAACGGACCACCAAGGCAACGAUGGGUAGCUGGUCUGAGAGGAUGGUCAGCCACACUGGGACUGAGAUACGGCCCAGACUCCUACGGGAGGCAGCAGUCGAGAGGCUUCGGCAAUGGGGGAAACCCUGACCGAGCGACGCCGCGUGAGGGAUGAAGGCUUUCGGGUUGUAAACCUCUUUUGUUGGGGAAGAAAUGCGAUCAGGUGAAUAAUCUGGUCGUUUGACGGUACCCAACGAAUAAGCUCCGGCUAACUCCGUG
rnacentral:rRNA from 1 species